UUUUUUUUUUUUUAGCUCAGCCCAUUCAUGACUACCUGAUGCCAGUCAUGUUUGCAUUGGCACAGCUCCAGAAGAAGAAAUUCCACUUCAGAGUGCUGAAUACUGGUUCUGUUAAAGCUUUAGCAGGAAGUAAGUGAGACUAAGCAACACAACAGAAUUUUACACACUUAUACCAAAGGAAGUGGUGAGAAGCCUCAUCUUCUACUGUUCAGCUUCACCAGUGUACGCCAGCAUUCUGGUUGCUGUGGCUGACGUCAGCACUGGCAGGGGAAGCUUAGGUUGAGAAAACAUCCAAUGUCUGAAGCCAAACAGAUGCCGCUGCUCGAUAUCCAUUACACCAGUAUGGAAAAAGAAUAAAAAAACAUUCCACAGGCUAUGGGAGUAAGCCAGCGCCUGCAGUCAGUCGGACUGAUAUGGAGCGGAGCAAGGAAUGCAAGAUAUGCAGCGGGCUGCGCAAAUGAAAUGAUCCCAGAUGGAGCCAGAAGAGAGGGCUUUUAAGAGUAUUACACAGUUAUGUAACAAUGAUAAAAAUAGCAUGCCAACAUCUACAGAUCUAAGUCUUACAGAAAUCUUAAGCAGCAGAAAACCUGCAUGUCAGUAAUUCAUUAACCAAAGUAAAACGCAUCAUCCCAGUUUAGAUACAAAUAAACUAGAUAUUAUUCAAUGUCUAUGGCCAGAUAUAGACAAAUACAAGGAUUUUAGGACAGAAUUACAAAAUCUCUAAGGAAAAGGUACAUUGAUGUAUAUAGAUGUUUGCCAUUGCUAUUUAAUGAUUCACUUACCUAACUGGAAACAUAGUAGAUAGAUGCAAUGGCCUAAAAAGUAGACGUGAAGCAAGGGAUUCAUAUCCGGUCUAAUCCUAUGGCACAAUGGACUGCAUUUCCGGUUUUAGUAUAAAGUUGCUCAAGUUGGUAAUAUGCCUUACAUGUGUGGUUGGUAUACACUGAUCGGCCAUAAAAUUAGAACCACCUGCCCA